rnacentral:rRNA from 1 species
CAGUAGCCGCGGGAACACGAAGGGGGCUAGCGUUGCUCGGAAUGACUGGGCGUAAAGGGCGCGUAGGCGGAUUGUUUAGUUAGGCGUGAAAUUCCUGGGCUUAACCUGGGGACUGCGCUUAAUACAGGCAGUCUAGAGUGAGGAAGAGGGUUGUGGAUUUCCCAGUGUAGAGGUGAAAUUCGUAGAUAUUGGGAAGAACACCGGUGGCGAAGGCGGCAACCUGGUCCUUGACUGACGCUGAGGCGCGAAAGCGUGGGGAGCAAACAGGAUUAGAUACCCCCGUAGUCCCUGUCUCUUAUAC